rnacentral:rRNA from 1 species
UACGGGAAGGCAGCAGUGGGGAAUAUUGCACAAUGGGCGAAAGCCUGAUGCAGCUAUGCCGCGUGUAUGAAGAAGGCCUUAGGGUUGUAAAGUACUUUCAUCGGGGAGGAAAAAACAAAACUAAUAAUUUUAUUUCUUGACGUUACCCGAAAAAGAAGCACCGGCUAACUCCGUGCCAGCAGCCGCGGUAAUACGGAGGGUGCUAGCGUUAAUCAGAAUUACUGGGCGUAAAGAGCACGUAGGUGGUUUUUUUAAGUCAGAUGUGAAAUCCCUGGGCUUAACCUAGGAACUGCAUUUUGAAACUGAAAUACUAGAGUAUCGUAGAGGGAGGUAGAAUUCUAGGUGUAGCGGUGAAAUGCGUAGAUAUCUGGAGGAAUACCUGUGGCGAAAGCGGCCUCCUAAACGAAUACUGACACUGAGGGUGCGAAAGCGUGGGGAGCAAACGAGGAUUAGAUACC